GCGACUGGCGCUCGGGUCGCUGGGAUCCAGGGAGCCUGUGUGCGCCCGAGGGGCGCCGGGGCGGCCUGAUGGCCCGGGCGGCCGCUGGGGGUCAGGAUAAGCCCGCGGAGCAGCCCGGCCGCCGCCCGCCGCCCAGCCGGGAAGGGCGCCCGGCUCCGGAGCGCGAGGCCUGCCCGGGCAGGCGACGCGAGAUGCACCGUCGAUGUCCCCGCGCGGGGCCGCAGCCACCCGGAGGUUCCCUUGGCUGCCCUUAUUUGUAAGGCAAAUCUAGGCCCGCGCACACGGUGCUCGGAUGUCAGGUACUAAAUUGCCUUUAUGAGAGUGGAGCAGGCUUGCUGAUGACAACGCGCAGAUAACAAAAGAAGCGUGGCCUUGGUGAAGAUUUUAUGUAAGGGGAAAUGAUUCAUUUGAAUUCAGAAGGAGUCUUAAAAUAAGGCAGAAACAGCCAAGCCCUGGAUUUUCUGCCUUAUGACUUGUUUCUUAGAAGUUGUUUAAAAAGAAAAGAAGAGAAAAAAAAAUUUUUUUUUUUUUUUAAAGAAAAACUCCCCCAAAUUGCCACUCAAGGUUUAGAUUUUCGUGGGUUGCUAUUUUCUUCAGAUCCAGGUUGGCUUCUUGUUAACCCCCGGCUGCAGCCACAGAAAACGAGAUUUUCCUCCCACUGAGGGAUUAACCGCCUGGGAGCCUUAGUGGGAUGACGAGGUCUUGAGAGACUGGAGGUGAAUGAGUCUGAAAUGUUUGAAAGAAAACAUCUUCAGCAGUUUGAGAGCUGCACUAAGACACUUCAAAGAAUCAAAAUUGCCCUUAUUUAAGAGCUUUGGAGAUCCAAAUACAAGUCCCUUUUCUUUUGCCAAGAAGGCCACUUACUCAUUUUGUGUGUCUUUCAUGCUUCAGGGAAAUGCUGGGAUUCUUUUUCAAUCCCUAACCAGGCAUCUGUUUGACUUUUUCUGCAAAGACCAAUUUUUUUCUUGAAGUCUCAAAUUUCUGUUCCUUUUGGGGAUGCCAUGUGGAAGAGGGAAUCAGUGCCUUUCUCGGGAACCAAAUGAGAGAGUGAAAGGCCUCACCUCUUUCAAGUGGGCCCAUGUUUGGGUGGUAGGGCUGCUGGGGCCAGAGUGAUGUUCAAGGGCUGUCUGGCAAACUGUCUGGGGUUAGAGAUGAGGAACAUUCCUUCAUUCACCUGUUGGACCAGCAUUUAUUAAGCACUCACUACACCUGCUUAUAGUGGUGGGGAAGCCAACAGCGUGGAGGAAGAUGGCAGCAAUUAUUCCCCUCUAUUGGAAAAUCCACCAUCUAGUGUUCUUUUUUCUUCAUGUAGAAGCUGAGAAAAACCCAGGAAUUGUCAACAAAUACAGACUCUUGGUUUUUAACUUAGAGGUGCCAUCUGAUUUGCGGCAUGCGUGGGGUGCAAAUUGAACUCCGGGCUUCCAACCAAACUUUGUAAGGAGGUCCUCAGCCACAGAGACACCAGCAUGGGCAGCCACUGGCCACUGCUCCUUUGGGUGUGCCAAGUAAGACAAGUGGCAGUUGGAUGGCCUGAGUAUUUGUGUGUCAGCAUCCAUGUAUUUGUAUAUUUGUGACCAGGGGUAACCACAGCAGUGGCACAGCUGUGGCCCUGCCAAUGCCGUCUACAAGCAGUCUUCGAAUUGCUAGCACAUGGUCAUGAGGCUCGUACGCGGUUACGUGUCAGCUAAGCUGAAACAAAUGAGGUGACAGAAACACAAUAAAGGAAGCUCGGUCAUGCUGCCACCCACUCCUCCCUGCCUAGACUGGUCCUCAGCAAGCUGCCACCCUGGACUGAUGAGACUGUGCCGGUGAUAAGCCACAACUGUGGGAAACGCUGGGUGGGGGCAUAAAUAUCAUCUGUAAACAAUUAGGCAGCCACUGCUCAUUCAGUGCCGUUUUGAGAAGCUGAGGAAGUCUGCAAUCAGUUAUAUCUCCAAUUACCAUAAAAAUAUAUUAGCCAUUCAUUCAUUUAUUAAUGAUUCAUCAGUUAACCACACAUAAUGAGCAAAUAAUUAGCAGUGCUGUAUGGUUGCCAAAAUUGAAGAAGUGUUGGCAUUUUAAAGAUGAAAGGUUGCAUUUAUGCAAAAGUCUGGUGAUGAUAAAGUUAAUAUGGAAGAUAAUUAUAAAAGUGGCUGUCCUAUAUUACAGGCUGAGGUACCACAAAACUUGCCUAAUUGAACUGAAAUUAAUAUUCUUCCAAAGUCUACAUGUUGCCACACACAAACUGCUGAAUUUCUCUUGAAGAUCUCCCUUCAGUAAGGUGCACCGCACAAUACAAGUUAAUAAAAUGCCAGACAGCUAGACUGUGUUCUUUGUUUGCUUGGUUCAGGGCCUUGUGGAAAACAAUAAAUUGCAUUCAUGUCAGCUGAGGCCCAUCCCUUUGCUAAUUACCGUUUGGUGCUGAAAUGACUUCUGUGAAAUUGGGAGCAUGAGGAAACAUAUAGCCAUACAAGGGAGGCUUUUCAGAGUUUUGCAGUAAAUGUGAGAUAGGCCUCAGGCACACAGAUGUUAAAACAGCGAAUUCCCCAACAGAUUACACUAAUGGAAACCCUGUCAGGGUAGGUCAAAUCCGGGUCUGUGGUCAAAAUCUAAUUAAGGUUUCUGUACUUAAAAAGAAUAUGAAUGCCUGGGGGUGGUGAUGAAUGUAUAAGAAACUCACUUGUUUGUAAAAUUGUUAGCGUGAAUAGUAAGUACCGUGGGGCUGUUACCUGCCACGGAACACCUGUUUUCCGGGGCUCUCUCUGCUCUGCAGAAUGUAUGCAAGGCGGGUUUUUUCAGAGGUCAGUGAACUCAGCUCAGGCCACAGUGGCUCCCCAGCUUUGGGGCCUAUUCCAAGGUAUGGUUUGAGGUCAUGGAUGGAAAUGGAUCCUUAAAAGUUGCCUUGGAAUCCCAAAGGAUGCUUUACUUGGCCACAUGAAAACCACCCCAGAUGAUCCUGCCCAACUGCCUGGCGCCACUGAGGAAAUAGUUUUUUGCUGAGGGUGUGGGGCUGGCCAAGUCUCCCCUAGUGGGGAAACAAAGGGUCGUCUGCUCGUGGCUGGCCCUUGGGCCUGUCGGGACUGCCUCCCGGAACAGCUGCAGCGUGCAGGCGCGGCCCUGCUUCUAAUAGAGGAAAUGAAUUUAUAAUGCUGCAGUCUCUUCAUUUUCACCAAGCACAAAUUUCCCCUUAAAUACUUAAAAACAACACCCAGAGCUGGAUAUACCUUAAAUUUCCAAUA